AUUGAACGCUGGCGGAAUGCUUUACACAUGCAAGUCGAACGGCAGCACGGGGCAACCUGGUGGCGAGUGGCGAACGGGUGAGUAAUACAUCGGAACGUGCCCAAUCGUGGGGGAUAACGUAGCGAAAGUUACGCUAAUACCGCAUACGAUCUACGGAUGAAAGCGGGGGAUCGCAAGACCUCGCGCGAGUGGAGCGACCGAUGUCAGAUUAGGUAGUUGGUGGGGUAAAGGCUCACCAAGCCAACGAUCUGUAGCUGGUCUGAGAGGACGACCAGCCACACUGGAACUGAGACACGGUCCAGACUCCUACGGGAGGCAGCAGUGGGGAAUUUUGGACAAUGGGCGCAAGCCUGAUCCAGCCAUUCCGCGUGCAGGAUGAAGGCCUUCGGGUUGGUAAACUAGCUUUUGUACGGUAACGAAACGGACGAGCUCUAAUACAG
rnacentral:rRNA from 1 species